rnacentral:rRNA from 1 species
CGGCGACGGGUGAGUAACACGUAUGCAAUCCACCUGUAACAGGGGGAGUAACCCGGAGAAAUCCGGACUAAUACCCCAUAAUAUGGGCGCUCCGCAUGGAGAGCCCAUUAAAGAGAGCAAUUUUGGUUACAGACGAGCAUGCGCUCCAUUAGCCAGUUGGCGGGGUAACGGCCCACCAAAGCGACGAUGGAUAGGGGUUCUGAGAGGAAGGUCCCCCACAUUGGAACUGAGACACGGUCCAA